GAUGCUGUUGUUGUUCCUCCAGCUGGUGUUGCUGACCCUCCAACUGAUGUGGUAAUUGCUCCAGCUAACUUGGCCCCAAGUAAUGUGCCUAUUCCUCCAACUAAUGCUGCUGCUCCUCCAAAUAAAGAGGCUAUUCCAGCUUUUUCGGCUAUUCCUCUAGCUGAUGUGGUUGUUUCCUGAGCUGAUGUGGCCAUUUCUCCAGUUGCUGUGACAGGUUCCUCAGAUGAUGAGAUUGUUUCUCCCCCAGUUGAUGAAUUCAUUUCUCCAGUUGCUGUGGCAGGUUCCUCAGAUGAUGAGACUGUUUCUCCCCCAGUUGAUGAAUUCAUUUCUCCAG